rnacentral:rRNA from 1 species
UACGUAGGGGGCGAGCGUUGUUCGGAAUUACUGGGCGUAAAGCGCACGUAGGCGGAUCAUUUAGUCAGGGGUGAAAUCCCGGGGCUCAACCUCGGAAUUGCCUUCGAUACUGUUUGGCUUGAGACCGGAAGAGGUAAGUGGAACUGCGAGUGUAGAGGUGAAAUUCGUAGAUAUUCGCAAGAACACCAGUGGCGAAGGCGGCUUACUGGUCCGGUUCUGACGCUGAGGCGCGAAAGCGUGGGGAGCAAACAGG